CAGCAGCCGCGGGAAUACAGAGGGUGCGAGCGUUAAUCGGAUUUACUGGGCGUAAAGCGUGCGUAGGCGGCUUUUUAAGUCGGAUGUGAAAUCCCUGAGCUUAACUUAGGAAUUGCAUUCGAUACUGGGAAGAUAGAGUAUGGGAGAGGAUGGUAGAAUUACAGGUGUAGCGGUGAAAUGCGUAGAGAUCUGGAGGAAUACCGAUGGCGAAGGCAGCCAUCUGGCCUAAUACUGACGCUGAGGUACGAAAGCAUGGGGAGCAAACAGGAUUAGAUACCCGUGUAGUCCCUGUCUCUUAUAC
rnacentral:rRNA from 1 species